AAUAUAACAAACAAAAGAAUUAGGAGUAAAAGAGCAAACUGGUUAGUGUCAGUCUCAGUUUUAGUGCAGGAGGUUUUUGUACAGCCGUUGAUUGGGUUUGUAUCACUGUGGUGGACUUUCGGUGGAGGCACUCGACUCUCAGUUGGAACUGCGGCUCGUCCCGCUCUCACAGUGCUGCCGCCCUCCAGAGACCAGCUGCAGCAGGGUAAGGCUACAGUGCUGUGUGUGGCCAGUAAGGGAUUCCCCUCUGACUGGAAGCUGAGCUGGAAGGUGGACGGCAGCAGCAGGAGCUCUGGUGUCAAUCUGAGUCCCAGUCAGCUGCAGAAGGAUGGACUGUACAGCUGGAGCAGCAGCCUGAGCCUCACUGAGAGUGAGUGGAGCAGAGCAACGACCGUCAGCUGUGACGCCACUCACCCAUCCCACAGUGCAGUGACCAAGAGCCUCAACACACAGCAGUGCGAUGAAUGAAACACACACACACACACAC